UAGAUACAAUAUGCCCUCUCUUUCUCUCCCAGUCUCCUCUCUUUCCCCCCAACAUCUCAGCUGAAGGAAUGUUUCAGCUUCAGCACCGAUCCAAGUGCUGGGCCUGAGUAGAGGGAGACGAGAAAUGGAGGCAGGCGGCAAUGGAGCAGCUCAGGGGGAGGACAGGGUCGUGCAGACGUUCCAGAAGAGCUUCGUGCAGGUGCAGAGCAUCCUCGACCAGAACCGUCUGCUGAUCAACGAAAUCAACCACAACCAUGAGUCGAAGAUACCCGAGAGCCUCAGCCGCAACGUUGGUCUGAUCCGGGAGCUGAAUAACAAUAUCCGGCGGGUUGCCGGGCUCUACUCUGAUCUAUCGGUGUCAUUCUCGAGGUCGGUGGAGACGUCGUCGGAUGGGGAUGGAGACUCCGCCGGCACGAUGAGGUCGGAUGGGAAGCUCAGCCAGAAGAGAGGCAGGUCCGGGUAAAGGAUGAUUCAAGUAAAAGCAAUUGAAUUCUUUUUUACAGUGUCAUUGUUGUAAACUUCAUCAUGCAGCUCCAGUUUGGUAUUCAGAUUGAGCUCUUAUGUGUUGUGGAUCGCCGGUCUGUAUUAAGAUUAUUA
rnacentral:misc_RNA from 1 species